UACGAAGGGUGCAAGCGUUAAUCGGAAUUACUGGGCGUAAAGCGUGCGUAGGCGGUGACUUAAGUCUGUUGUGAAAUCCCCGGGCUCAACCUGGGAAUGGCAAUGGAUACUGGGUCGCUAGAGUGUGAUAGAGGAUGGUGGAAUUCCCGGUGUAGCGGUGAAAUGCGUAGAGAUCGGGAGGAACAUCAGUGGCGAAGGCGGCCAUCUGGAUCAACACUGACGCUGAGGCACGAAAGCAUGGGGAGCAAACAGG
rnacentral:rRNA from 1 species